rnacentral:rRNA from 1 species
CAGUAGCCGCGGUAAUACGAAUGGGGCUAGCGUUGUUCGGAAUUACUGGGCGUAAAGCGCACGUAGGCGGACAUUUAAGUCAGGGGUGAAAUCCCGGGGCUCAACCCCGGAACUGCCUUUGAUACUGGGUGUCUAGAGUAUGGAAGAGGUGAGUGGAAUUCCGAGUGUAGAGGUGAAAUUCGUAGAUAUUCGGAGGAACACCAGUGGCGAAGGCGGCUCACUGGUCCAUUACUGACGCUGAGGUGCGAAAGCGUGGGGAGCAAACAGGAUUAGAUACCCCCGUAGUCCCUGUCUCUUAUAC